CAAUAGCGUAUAUUAAAGUUGUUGCGGUUAAAAAGCUCGUAGUUGGAUUUCUGUCGAGGGCGGCCGGUCCGCACUAUGUGCGAGUAUCUGGUUCGGUCUUGGCAUCCUCUUGGGGAACAUUCCUGUGCUUGAUUGCAUGGGGUGGAAUUCAAGACAUUUACUUUGAGGAAAUUAGAGUGUUUAAAGCAGGCAUUUCGCUGUGAAUACAUUAGCAUGGAAUAAUAAGAUAGGACUUUGGUGCUAUUUUAUUGGUUUGCACACCAAAGUAAUGAUUAAGAGGGACAGUUGGGGGUAUUCGUAUUUAGUUGUCAGAAGUGAAAUUCUUGGAUUUACGAAAGACGAACUACUGCGAAAGCAUUUACCAAGGAUGUUUUCAUUAAUCAAGAACGAAAGUUAGGGGAUCGAAGAUGAUUAGAUACCGU
rnacentral:rRNA from 1 species